CUGUGACAUUGUAAUAACUGGACAAGAACAUCUGUGCAAGGAUGACGACAUUACAUGCAAUGCUACUGAUGCUGUUUGUUGCAUCAGUCUUUUCAAAAGCAUUUCAUUUGCGCAGAAGAUUUGAUUCAUCAGACUCUGUGCGAUCUAGAUUCAGUUCAGAGGAAAAUGAUUCAAGCAGAGAAGACAGGGAGGAUUCACAGUCGGAUGAGAAAUCUGAAUCAAACGGGUCUAAAUCAAGUGAUUCUGACUCUUCGGAGGAAGAUAUCAGAGUUGUGUCAAGCACAUUCCCUCCAGCUAGCACAACAAGUCCAUCGACCGCUGGCAAGACAACAGCAACCCCAUCAACUACCACGACACAAGACAUCACAAACUGUGUUACUGUGGAUCUGACACCUAAGAAGGGGUCAUAAUGAUAAUGUCAAUAUAAUACCUUGCACUAAUACUGUUUAAUCAUCUUUUCAUGCAAAACAAACAAAAGCUGAAUGGUGUACAAUUCACUGGAGCUUACAGU